rnacentral:rRNA from 1 species
AGUGGCGGACGGGUGAGUAAUGUCUGGGAAACUGCCUGAUGGACGGGGACAACAGUGGGAAACGACUGCUAAUACCCGAUGUGCCGCGAGGUGAAACCUAAUUGGCCUGAAGAAGAGCUUGCGUCUGAUUAGCUAGUUGGUGGGGUAAGAGCCUACCAAGGCGACGAUCAGUAGCUGGUCUGAGAGGAUGAGCAGCCACACUGGGACUGAGACACGGCCCAGACUCCUACGGGAGGCAGCAGUGGGGAAUUUUCCGCAAUGGGCGAAAGCCUGACGGAGCAACGCCGCGUGAGGGAGGAAGGUCUUUGGAUUGUAAACCUCUUUUCUCAAGGAAGAAGUUCUGACGGUACUUGAGGAAUCAGCCUCGGCUAACUCCGUGCCAGCAGCCGCGGUAAUACGGGGGAGGCAAGCGUUAUCCGGAAUUAUUGGGCGUAAAGCGUCCGCAGGUGGUCAGCCAAGUCUGCCGUCAAAUCAGGUUGCUUAACGACCUAAAGGCGGUGGAAACUGGCAGACUAGAGAGCAGUAGGGGUAGCAGGAAUUCCCAGUGUAGCGGUGAAAUGCGUAGAGAUUGGGAAGAACAUCGGUGGCGAAAGCGUGCUACUGGGCUGUAUCUGACACUCAGGGACGAAAGCUAGGGGAGCGAAAGGGAUUAGAUACCCCUGUAGUCCUAGCCGUAAACGAUGGAUACUAGGCGUGGCUU